rnacentral:rRNA from 1 species
GACGUAGGGCGCGAGCGUUGUCCGGAUUUAUUGGGCGUAAAGAGCUCGUAGGCGGCUUGUCGCGUCGACUGUGAAAUCCCCGAGGCUCAACUUCGGGCUUGCAGUCGAUACGGGCAGGCUAGAGUUCGGUAGGGGAGACUGGAAUUCCUGGUGUAGCGGUGAAAUGCGCAGAUAUCAGGAGGAACACCGAUGGCGAAGGCAGGUCUCUGGGCCGGAUACUGACGCUGAGGAGCGAAAGUGUGGGGAGCGAACAGG